AAGUCGAGCGGUAGAGAGAAGCUUGCUUCUCUUGAGAGCGGCGGACGGGUGAGCAAUGCCUAGGAAUCUGCCUGGUAGUGGGGGAUAACGUUCGGAAACGGACGCUAAUACCGCAUACGUCCUACGGGAGAAAGCAGGGGACCUUCGGGCCUUGCGCUAUCAGAUGAGCCUAGGUCGGAUUAGCUAGUUGGUGGGGUAAUGGCUCACCAAGGCGACGAUCCGUAACUGGUCUGAGAGGAUGAUCAGUCACACUGGAACUGAGACACGGUCCAGACUCCUACGGGAGGCAGCAGUGGGGAAUAUUGGACAAUGGGCGAAAGCCUGAUCCAGCCAUGCCGCGUGUGUGAAGAAGGUCUUCGGAUUGUAAAGCACUUUAAGUUGGGAGGAAGGGCAGUUGCCUAAUACGUAACUGUUUUGACGUUACCGACAGAAUAAGCACCGGCUAACUCUGUGCCAGCAGCCGCGGUAAUACAGAGGGUGCAAGCGUUAAUCGGAAUUACUGGGCGUAAAGCGCGCGUAGGUGGUUUGUUAAGUUGGAUGUGAAAUCCCCGGGCUCAACCUGGGAACUGCAUUCAAAACUGACUGACUAGAGUAUGGUAGAGGGUGGUGGAAUUUCCUGUGUAGCGGUGAAAUGCAUAGAUAUAGGAAGGAACACCAGUGGCGAAGGCGACCACCUGGACUAAUACUGACACUGAGGUGCGAGAGCGUGGGGAGCAAACAGGAUUAGAUACCCUGGUAGUCCACGCCGUAAACGAUGUCAACUAGCCGUUGGAAGCCUUGAGCUUUUAGUGGCGCAGCUAACGCAUUAAGUUGACCGCCUGGGGAGUACGGCCGCAGGGUUAAAACUCAAAGGAAUGACG
rnacentral:rRNA from 1 species